CUAGGACAUAUAAAGAUACAAGAAGUUGGCAGUCUGUCACCUGAAAGAGGGCUCUCACUGGAAUCCAAUCAUGCUGAUACCUUGUACUUGAACUUCCAGCUUCCAAAACUAAUAUGAAUCACUCAGUACUAAUGUGUGAUCUGCUGAAAGUGGUCAUCUUCAGGCGAUAAUAUUUGCUCCUGGGGUUGUACUUAUCUGUUUUCUAAGCAGUCAAGCAAACAUGGAACAUUCCUGAUGCAUAGUACAACAUCUAAAAACAAAGAGCCAAG